GAUUGUGGCUCAGUGGUAGAGCGCUUGCCUAGCACGUGUGAGGCCCUGGGUUCUAUUCUCAGCACAGCA
rnacentral:tRNA from 1 species